GGAUUAGAUACCCUGGUAGUCCACGCCGUAAACGAUGUGUGCUAGCCGUCGGGCUCUUGGAGUUCGGUGGCGCCGCUAACGCAUUAAGCACACCGCCUGGGGAGUACGGCCGCAAGGUUAAAACUCAAAGGAAUUGACGGGGGCCCGCACAAGCGGUGGAGCAUGUGGUUUAAUUCGACGCAACGCGCAGAACCUUACCAGCCCUUGACAUGGGGGUCGCGGAGACCGGAGACGGUUUCUUUCAGUUCGGCUGGACCCCACACAGGUGCUGCAUGGCUGUCGUCAGCUCGUGUUG
rnacentral:rRNA from 1 species